GUAGGGUGCAAGCGUUAUCCGGAAUCAUUGGGCGUAAAGAGCUCGUAGGCGGUUCAGCAAGUCGGCUGUGAAAUCCCGAGGCUUAACCUCGGAACUGCAGUCGAUACUGCUGUGACUAGAGUCCGGUAGAGGAGAAUGGAAUUCCCGGUGUAGCGGUGAAAUGCGCAGAUAUCGGGAGGAACACCAGUAGCGAAGGCGGUUCUCUGGGCCGGUACUGACGCUGAGGAGCGAAAGCGUGGGGUAGCAAACAGGAUUAGAUACCCUGGUAGUCCACGCCGUAAACGUUGGACACUAGGUGUGGCGUUCCGACCAACGGGUGCCGUGCCGAAGCUAACGCAUUAAGUGUCCCCGGCCUGGGGAGUACGGCUGCAAGGCUA
rnacentral:rRNA from 1 species